UACGUAGGGAGCAAGCGUUGUCCGGAAUCAUUGGGCGUAAAGCGCGCGUAGGCGGCCCCGUAAGUCCGCUGUGGAAGUCAAAGGCUCAACCUUUGAAAGCCGGUGGAUACUGUGGGGCUAGAGUCCGGAAGAGGCGAGUGGAAUUCCUGGUGUAGCGGUGGAAUGCGCAGAUAUCGGGAGGAACACCUGUGGCGAAAGCGGCGCACUGGACCACAACUGACGCUGAUGCGCGAAAGCUAGGGGAGCAAACAGG
rnacentral:rRNA from 1 species